GGGAGAUGCCAUGCAAGGGAAAGAAGGAUCAUCUGGGAAUUCAAGUUACGUAAAAGAUCUCUUUGGUGGGAUAUGGGAGCAAAUUUCAAAGCUAAACAAAGGUCCAAUACAGCUUCUGAAAAGACUGUUAUUUUCUAGACCUGUUAAACUAAUCCUGAAAUUGCCUUGGACAAUCGUCUCAAACCUUCCUGGAUUUUCCAUGUUGAAACAGCCUGUUCAAUACCUGUUUUUCUCCCAAGAC
rnacentral:misc_RNA from 1 species